rnacentral:rRNA from 1 species
GGAGUAUGGGCCGUGUCUCAGUCCCAUUGUGGCUGAUCAUCCUCUCAAACCAGCUACUGAUCGUCGCCUUGGUGGUCCAUUACACCUCCAACUAGCUAAUCAGAUGCAGACUCAUCCUGAAGCGAUAAAUCUUUCACGAAUAGUAUUGCAACUACGCGCAUAUGGGGUAUUAGCAGAAGUUUCCCUCUGUUGUCCCCCUCUUCAGGGCAGAUUCUCUACACAUUACUCACCCGUCCGCCACUUUCCAUUACCCGAAGGUAAUUUCUCGUUCGACUUGCAUGUAUGAAGCACGCCGCCAGCGUGUCCUCGAGCACUGAUCAAACUACU